AGUUUUAUUUUCUGUUUAUUCCUGCUAUGUAGAAUAGUUUAUUUUACAAAAACUUUGUUCUUUGCAGGAGAAUAUAAAAUCAUUUUGGUUCAAAUGUUAGCUCCGCCCAUUCACAGGCUGUAGUUGCGCUGCUUCAGCGUCAACGUCCCACCACACAGUUACUAGCUAGGUUGGUACACGUGCGUGUUCGGCUCUCUGGCAGUGGCACUUAACAGACACCAAGUUUGAAUGUUUCUUCUCUAUUAAUCCGGAGAAGGGGACAAAAGUGGAACAAACAAAAACAAAACGGCUCCAUGUGAAUCCAAGAGUCCUUACUUUGAUUCAGGACCUCUCAGACCAUGAAUGGCGAGCUAUUUAAAAAGUUGUUCCUUCAAGUGGCCGCGACAGUGAACACCCAUGUUUCUCUAGAUGUUCUUCUAGAAGCAAUGCAGUUGCAUGUUAAUCAAGCCUUUACCAUGAUUCACAAGCUCUCCAUGAAUGGCGAGCUAUUUAAAAAGUUGUUCCUUCAAGUGGCCGCGACAGUGAACACCCAUGUUUCUAGAUGUUCUUCUGGAAGCAAUGCAGUUGCAUGUUAAUCUAAGCUUCUGUAACUUGAUUCAUGACCUUUUCAACCAUGAAUGGCGAGCUGUUUGAAAAGUUGUUCCUUCAAGUGGCCGCGACAGUGAACACCCAUGUUUCUAGAUGUUCUUCUGGAAGCAAUGCAGUUGCAUGUUAAUCUAAGCUUCUGUAACUUGAUUCAUGACCUUUUCAACCAUGAAUGGCGAGCUGUUUGAAAAGUUGUUCCUUCAAGUGGCCGCGACAGUGAACACCCAUGUUUCUCUAGAUGUUCUUCUAGAAGCAAUGCAGUUGCAUGUUAAUCAAGCCUUUACCAUGAUUCACAAGCUCUCCAUGAAUGGCGAGCUAUUUAAAAAGGUGUUCCUUCAAAGUGAUGGAGCCGAUGAACACCUAUAUCACCUUUUUUCAUGGCUCGCUAUUAACAAGGUUCACAUUUAUUCACUCACUCACUACCACACCUCACUCAUAAUUCCUCUCUCUCACAAACACAAGUGCAACCACACACACACACACUUUAAUGAUGUCUUUCUCAUUAUUUUUUCAACAAUAAAUUUGCAUUAUUGUGAAUUGUA